GUAUACACACACACACACACAAAAAAGGAACAAUACAGAGACGAUUAGCAUGGCCCCUGCACUAGGAUGAGAUGCAAAUCCGUGAAGCGUUCUAUAUAAAA
rnacentral:snRNA from 1 species